rnacentral:lncRNA from 1 species
UUACAAAUCAGUUUAUGUUAAUUUUAAAAAAUUCAAGAAAAGAGGAGCGUACCUACCCGUUUAGAUGUACCGGUGUAGACUUUGUCCAUAUGAGCUUUUGAUCAUCUUUGCAUUAUUACCAUCAUUCCCUUUCCCACUAGCAGAUUUGUCUCUUAGCCAAUAAGAGAAACAAACACAAGAAGAAAGUUAAAACAAGUAAGAAACACAAAACAAGAAAGCAAAUG